rnacentral:tRNA from 1 species
GAGGGUAUAGCUCAGUGUGUAGAGCACGUGCUUAGCAGGCACAAGGUCCUGGGUUUAAUCCUCAGUACCUCCA